GGACAUCGAUUGAUGGUCCGGUGAGCCUCGGGAUUGUGAUUGGUUUCCUUUAUUGGAAGUCAGUUGCGAGAACCUGUCUAAACCUUAUCAUUUAGAGGAAGGUGAAGUCGUAACAAGGUUUCCGUAGGUGAACCUGCGGAAGGAUCA
rnacentral:rRNA from 1 species